CUCAACAAAACUUUUCCUAGGCUAUGGAGCAAAAAGCACCUUCGGUUACCUGAAUGGACAG
rnacentral:lncRNA from 1 species